UAAGGAAUAUUGGUCAAUGGGGGCAACCCUGAACCAGCCAUGCCGCGUGCAGGAAGACGGCCCUACGGGUUGUAAACUGCUUUUAUACGGGAAUAAAUCAUGCUACGUGUAGUGUGUUGAAUGUACUGUAAGAAUAAGGAUCGGCUAACUCCGUGCCAGCAGCCGCGGUAAUACGGAGGAUCCAAGCGUUAUCCGGAUUUAUUGGGUUUAAAGGGUGCGUAGGCGGCCUAUUAAGUCAGGGGUGAAAGACGGUGGCUCAACCAUCGCAGUGCCCUUGAUACUGAUGGGCUUGAUUACACUUGAGGUAGGCGGAAUGUGACAAGUAGCGGUGAAAUGCAUAGAUAUGUCACAGAACACCAAUUGCGAAGGCAGCUUACUAAGGUGUCAAUGACGCUGAGGCACGAAAGCGUGGGGAUCAAACAGG
rnacentral:rRNA from 1 species